rnacentral:tRNA from 1 species
ACUUUUUUAGUUUAAAAGUUAAAACAUAAAUUUUGUAAAUUUAAGAUUCAGAAAGUA